GAGUUUGAUUGUGGCUCAGAUUGAACGCUGGCGGCAUGCCUUACACAUGCAAAUCGAACGGCAGCAUGAUCUAGCUUGCUAGAUUGAUGGCGAGUGGCGAACGGGUGAGUAAUACAUCGGAACGUGCCCUGUAGUGGGGGAUAACUAGUCGAAAGAUUAGCUAAUACCGCAUACGACCUGAGGGUGAAAGUGGGGGACCGCAAGGCCUCAUGCUAUAGGAGCGGCCGAUGUCUGAUUAGCUAGUUGGUGGGUAAAGGCCCACCAAGGCGACGAUCAGUAGCUGGUCUGAGAGGACGAUCAGCCACACCGGGACUGAGACACGGCCCAGACUCCUACGGGAGGCAGCAGUGGGGAAUUUUGGACAAUGGGCGAAAGCCUGAUCCAGCAAUGCCGCGUGUGUGAAGAAGG
rnacentral:rRNA from 1 species